ACUGAACGCUGGCGGCAUGCCUUACACAUGCAAGUCGAACGGCAGCACGGGGCAACCUGGUGGCGAGUGGCGAACGGGUGAGUAAUGCAUCGGAACGUGCCAUUGAGUGGGGGAUAACGUAGCGAAAGUUGCGCUAAUACCGCAUAUUCUGUGAGCAGGAAAGCAGGGGACCGCAAGGCCUUGCGCUCUUUGAGCGGCCGAUGUCAGAUUAGCUAGUUGGUGAGGUAACGGCUUACCAAGGCGACGAUCUGUAGCGGGUCUGAGAGGAUGAUCCGCCACACUGGAACUGAGACACGGUCCAGACUCCUACGGAGGCAGCAGUGGGGAAUUUUGGACAAUGGGCGCAAGCCUGAUCCAGCCAUGCCGCGUGAGUGAAGAAGGCCUCGGUUGUAAG
rnacentral:rRNA from 1 species